rnacentral:rRNA from 1 species
CUACGUGCCAGCAGCCGCGGUAAUACGGAAGGUCCAGGCGUUAUCCGGAUUUAUUGGGUUUAAAGGGAGUGUAGGCGGUUUGUUAAGCGUGUUGUGAAAUUUAGGUGCUCAACAUUUAACUUGCAGCGCGAACUGGCGAACUUGAGUGCACACAACGUAUGCGGAAUUCAUGGUGUAGCGGUGAAAUGCUUAGAUAUCAUGAAGAACUCCGAUUGCGAAGGCAGCAUACGGGAGUGUAACUGACGCUUAAGCUCGAAGGUGCGGGUAUCGAACAGGAUUAGAUACCCUGGUAGUCCGCACAGUAAACGAUGGAUGCCCGCUGUUAGCGCCUGGCGUUAGCGGCUAAGCGAAAGCAUUAAGCAUCCCACCUGGGGAGUACGCCGGCAACGGUGAAACUCAAAGGAAUUGACGGGGGCCCGCACAAGCGGAGGAACAUGUGGUUUAAUUCGAUGAUACGCGAGGAACCUUACCCGGGCUUGAAUUGCC